UAUGGAAACUUACUAAGUGAUAACUUUCAAAUUCAGAGAAACCCUGGAAUUAAUAAAAAUGGGCAAUCCUGAGCCAAAUCACGUUUUCCGAAAACAAACAAAGGUUCAGAAAGCGAAAAUAAAAAAGGAUAGGUGCAGAGACUCGAUGGAAGCUGUUCUAACGAAUGGAGUUGGUGGUCUUACGUUAGUGGAGGAAUCAUUCUAUCGAAACUUCAGAGAAGGAUAAACCUGUAUACAUAAUACAGAAGAAUUGCUGUGAAUCGAUUCCAUAUUGAAGAAAGAAUCGAAUAUUCAUUGAUCAAACCAUUCACUCCAUAAUCUGAUAGAUCUUUUGAAGAACUGAUUAAUCGGACGAGAAUAAAGAUAGAGUCCCGUUCUACAUGUCAAUACCGGCAACAAUGAAAUUUAUAGUAAGAGGAAAAUCCGUCGAUUUCAAAAAUCGUGAGGGUUCAAGUCCCUCUAUCCCCAAAAAGAGC
rnacentral:ncRNA from 1 species